UUUGGGGAUGGAUGGCAAGGGAAAUUUACAAAACUGGACAUCAGUUCCAGACAGUGGUUGACUCCCGAAACACUGGCAUCAAGGUCACGGGGUCGCACUCGGGCCCCACCUUUCAACAGGCGCCGGGGUGAAACGUAAGACGCCAACGUUACGCUUACGUGAUGACUCCUGCAAGAUGAGAAGACGUAAUGAAGCCCUGACAGCUGCUCAGAAAAAAAGACAAACAUCAAGCAUGCCGAGUUUGGAUGCUGGGUAAUAAAAUUACCUUCACUCUGGAGGAUGUCAGGAAAAUGUUCCAGCUGGAGAUAGACUCCUCCGUGAGCAUGUGUGGUAAACAUCGCACCUGUUUGCAUUGCCUUAAUACUCAACCAACGGCGGCACGUCCUGUCUCAAUCAACACGUCUUGCCCGCUCCCACCCGGGCGGUAAUUCAUUCAUUAUUCAUCUCAUUAGUAGCGCUAAAUGAUGGAAAUGACCUUCGCUGAACUGUAUGGAAGUCCAUUUGGACACUGUCAGACACUAUUAGACAUUCAGCAGGGGGGGGUCAGUUUUUUUUAGUUCAACCCUGCCAGAUAAACUGAAAUGUGUGACAAAAAUGAUGUGAGUCACAGCUGAAGCCAUGACAUAGGCUAUAAGUACGUGCCUCAUUGUGACUGGGACAUCUGAGUCACCUGGAACUGUGUGUUUGUCCUCUGUGAGCUCAUCACUCUCGGUUAGCAAACACAAUGCUGCAUUAAUGAACUCCACGCUUCUAAUUGAUUAAAAUCCCCCCGCUGUGCAAUUAUGCGAUUUCAUAGACAUGCUUUCAGUUUGUGUUCUUUUGACUUUCUGCCUUCCUGCGUUUUCUCUUCAGCCAACAUUUUGAUUGGUUAGGGCCUGGUCAUGGUGCUGAAUCUACACAGUUAAUGUGUAAGGUCACUUGUCUGUCUGGUCAUGCUCUGCACUCAUGUCAAUCUAAAUGGUUUGAGCAGAUCUUAGUUGGAAAACGAUUUACCACCUAAGUGUCCACAACUUUUAUAAAAACCUCGGUGCCGCUAUAGUUUUGACCUCGAAUCCUAACGUAUUUUCCGGACUUUAUGCCGCACUUUUUUCAUGGUUUGGCUGGU